rnacentral:rRNA from 1 species
GUGGGGAAUAUUGGACAAUGGGCGAAAGCCUGAUCCAGCCAUGCCGCGUGUGUGAAGAAGGUCUUCGGAUUGUAAAGCACUUUAAGUUGGGAGGAAGGGCAGUAAGUUAAUACCUUGCUGUUUUGACGUUACCAACAGAAUAAGCACCGGCUAACUUCGUGCCAGCAGCCGCGGUAAUACGAAGGGUGCAAGCGUUAAUCGGAAUUACUGGGCGUAAAGCGCGCGUAGGUGGUUUUGUAAGUUGGAGGUGAAAUCCCCGGGCUCAACCUUGGAACUGCCUCCAAAACUGCAUGACUAGAGUACGGUAGAGGGUAGUGGAAUUUCCUGUGUAGCGGUGAAAUGCGUAGAUAUAGGAAGGAACACCAGUGGCGAAGGCGACUACCUGGACUGAUACUGACACUGAGGUGCGAAAGCGUGGGGAGCAAACAGGAUUAGAAACCCGUGUCGUCC